AGGUGGCGCUCUUUGCUCAGCGAACACGUUCGCGAAAAGGGGAAUUUGCCGUGUGCUGUGAUUCAUAAAGUCAAACUAAAAACUGCCGCCCGUUUUCACAUGAGUCAUCUCCAGUGGAAACCAGAAGACCUGGAGGAGACUCACACAAAGACCAUGGGCAGAACUGGAACCCCAAGUUCUGGAGAUGAGGCACGGGGGCAGCAACCCAGUGAGCCACCACACUUCACUUGCGGCUUCUCCGAAAUCACGUGACUUACACGGGAACAUACAUCCACAGGACAGAUGGGAGGCGCUCCUGAGCUACCGAACUGCAAGUGGGGCUGGCUCUCACACAACAAGCUAAGAAUAUCCCAGGCCAGGCGACAAACGUCAGGAGAGAAAGAGAAAGUCUUUCAGAUUCCCACUUACGAAAACAUUCUGGAAAAAAAUGACAUCCACAUGUUUUAAUUGUUAGGAUUGAUCACAUAGUAACAGGCUCAGUAAUUUGUCCUGCAUUUCAGUUGCUUCUGCGAUUUAUAAUUGCUGAAAUAAGUCCUGUUUUGAAUUUGUUAUUUCAGGUCGUCCCAGAUUCAGUAUAAACAUGUUAUAUUAUUUAUCAUUGGGGCAAAAACCAAGCUGAAUCUUGUCAACAAAAGGGACAUUAUAAGGAAGAAGCACUGGGUAACAAACACACUGGCAGAAUCAGUGGUUCCUUGUAGCAGUUCUCUGCCAGCAGAGUCGGCCCCUAUGAGUAACAGGUGACGGCUAUCGCUGAUGGAAUGGUAGCUAUGAAAACACAUUUUAAUCUGCGGCACUUUUUUGAAGGCCCAUGUUUGGUGGCAUGUUUUCUGACUGCCACAGGCAUCGGAAACGUGAUCAAAAUACGACAGGAAAUUAACCCCAUGGUCUUUAAAUGCGAUUUUGUUUUUUGCAAUAUCCGGAGAUUUUGGUGAAAUGUUACCUCAGAUACACAGUGGGGGAGGGGGGGAGUUGUCUUGUUUAUUCGAUUGCAGUUGCCAAGCUACUGGAUGUGUAACAGGGUCACUUGAUGUACGAUACACCCCUCCAAGCCUGAAGCAGCCCCCACAUACAACUGAUCUAUAUCAGUAUAUAUCUACGGUCAGGACUGGAGGUCAAACUGAGAAAGGAGUUUUUUAAUACAAAAAUAAAAAAAAACAUUUUUUUUUUUUAGGUGACGCAAACAAUACUGAAUGUUGCGAUUUGAUAUCUACGAAAAAUACCUUGCAUGCCUUGCAUGUGGCACUUCCUGUCUGGCAGGCUGACUU